UACAGAGGUCUCAAGCGUUGUUCGGAUUCAUUGGGCGUAAAGGGUGCGUAGGUGGCGCCGUAAGUCAGGUGUGAAAUCUCGGGGCUUAACUCCGAAACUGCAUUUGAUACUGCGGUGCUUGAGGACUGGAGAGGAGACUGGAAUUUACGGUGUAGCGGUGAAAUGCGUAGAUAUCGUAAGGAAGACCAGUGGCGAAGGCGGGUCUCUGGACAGUUCCUGACACUGAGGAGCGAAAAGCGUGGGGGAG
rnacentral:rRNA from 1 species